AAGCAUAUCAAUAAGCGGAGGAAAAGAAACCAACCGGGAUUGCCCUAGUAACGGCGAGCGAAGCGGCAAAAGUCCAAAUUUGAAAUCUGGCGUCCUACGGGCGUCCGAGUUGUAAUUUGAAGAUGGUAACUUUGGGUUUGGCUCUUGCAUAAGUUCCUUGGAACAGGACGUCAUAGAGGGUGAGAAUCCCGUUCAUGGUAAGAUGCCCAUUCCUUUGUAAAGUGCCUUCGAAGAGUCGAGUUGUUUGGGAAUGCAGCUCUAAGUGGGUGGUAAAUUCCAUCUAAGACUAAAUAUUGGCGAGAGACCGAUAGCGAACAAGUACAGUGAUGGAAAGAUGAAAAGAACUUUGAAAAGAGAGUGAAAAAGUACGUGAAAUUGUUGAAAGGGAAGGGCUUGAAGUCAGACUUGGUAUUCAGUGAUCAACUGUCUUUCGGGACUGUGCACUCGCUGUUUACUGGGCCAACAUCGGUUUUGGCGGCGAGAUAAAUGCAUUGGAACGUGGCUCUAUCUUCGGGUGGAGUGUUAUAGCCUUUGUAAAUAUCGCCAGCUGGGACCGAGGACUGCGCAUCUGCUAGGAUGUUGGCGUAAUGACUUUAAGCCACCCGU
rnacentral:rRNA from 1 species